rnacentral:rRNA from 1 species
UACGUAGGUGGCAAGCGAUACUCGGAAUCACUAGGCGUAAAGCGCAGGUAGGCGGUUUGGUAAGUCUUUUGUGAAAGCUCCCGGCUUAACUGGGAGGGUGCGCCGGAAACUGGAGUGCUCGAGCGUGGGAGAGGAAAGCGGAAUUCCUGGUGUAGCGGUGAAAUGCGUAGAUAUCAGGAGGAACACCUGCGGUGUAGACGGCUUUCUGGACCAUUGCUGACGCUGAGACACGAAAGCGUGGGUAGCAAACAGG